UAACGGCGAGGAGGAGGAGCAAAACAUGGCGGGAGGGUGCGGCGUUUUCGGGAACUUCCUCUCCUGAGCCGGCCCGUGGAGCAGCGCACCCUCCGAACGGCCAAUCGCUGACUUCUCUUUCGGACUUCUAGCCAGUAGCUGAGCAUCAGUCCCGUCCGCCCCGCCCCCCAACAAAAAAAGAAGGGUCCGCGCGACUGAUUUGGCAACGGUAACUAGAACAGACAUGAUGGGCAGACCGGACUCCUCCUGCGCCGUUUCAGUUCCAUGGUUCUUGUCGAGUCCGCCAGCGGGAAGCGGAGAAAACGGUGGAUAUGUUGGGACUUCAGGAGUGAGGCACCCAGGAUUUCCGGUGAUUGUCUUGACAUGGUCUGAAUCUAUGCCACAACACGGUGGAAAUGGAUGACAGCACAUCAGGAAAUUAGACUGGGCUAAUGAGCGGCAAUGUGAUCCCACAUUGAGCCAUGACAUAUCCUAAAUUGGGCAGUGUGCUCAUAAAAUAAAUAAAAUGGUGUGGACAAUUUCA